rnacentral:rRNA from 1 species
UACGUAGGGUGCAAGCGUUAAUCGGAAUUACUGGGCGUAAAGCGUGCGCAGGCGGUUUGUUAAGUCAGAUGUGAAAUCCCCGGGCUCAACCUGGGAAUGGCAAUGGAUACUGGCGGGCUAGAGUGUGUCAGAGGAUGGUGGAAUUCCCGGUGUAGCGGUGAAAUGCGUAGAGAUCGGGAGGAACAUCAGUGGCGAAGGCGGCCAUCUGGGACAACACUGACGCUGAAGCACGAAAGCGUGGGGAGCAAACAGG